AGCCCCUUUUCUUCACACACACACACACACACACACACACACGUGCUUUUUCUGUGAGCUGAUGGCAUGUGCUUUGUGAAACGGUACGACAGCAGGCUGCCAAAACCAGGACGUGGCACCCUUGCUUCCUAUCCCAGCGACACAGUGAAAGCUCUUAGGGGUGAGAAGGAGUGCUGCCAACGACACCACACCCAGAUGGCUCACGUGGGAGCUUGGAACGAGUCUUUCAAACGUAACCAUUGCCCCUCGACUGCCAAAGAUGGACUCUCAUGUUUAUUUGUAGGCCUGUGCUUUAUCACGUGAAACUGAGGGGACGCUUAUAUUGCUCUCCUGGGAGAAGAACUAGCGUUAUUUAUUUGCUACGCCAGGAAUUUUUCUUGCAAGCGAUGCUCGCUCUGAAUGGGAAAUUGUGGCUGUAGUCUGGUGGUGGUGUUAUUCCUGACAUGCAGAGGCCUGGGUUAGGUCAAGACAAAGAGAAUGAGGAAUGGGCUUAGGUUCUGUUUCUGGCGUUGCCACUGCUGAAUGAAGACAUUUUUAAUGAAUCCCUCAGUAAGUGUUGCUAAAGGUUCUCUCAUUGGAAAAUCAGUCUGAAAGUAAUCAUUAGAAUGGGUGUGAAGAGAGGUGCCGUGUGCCUGCUGACGCAAGGAAGUGGAAAGCUUUUAGUGGCAUUUUUAGCCUUAGGCCACAAUGAAUAUUUCACCCUGAAAAGCUCCUCUUCUAAGAAACACUCUUUUCCCGCUGAAUUGUAGUCGCUCUUCGUUACUCCGCUGGAGCUGCAAUCGCAGUUCUCUGGGUAGGGUCAAAAGCUGAGCAGUUGCUGUCCCGCAGGGAUUCAGCUGCGACUCCCUGUUCGUGUGGUGCGAGACCCCGAGGGUGCCACCCCACAGCGCUCGGCUGCUUGCUGUCCUGAGGGUUGUUGCUUGUCAGCACUCGUGUGUUUUAGUGCAAGGGAGAUGUUACCAAACACACCAAAAACAGUUCCGCGGGUCUGUGGUGAGUGCAAAUAUAAAGUGAUUGUGCCAGAAAUACAUACUAAAACAGA